GAACUGUGUAGGUUGUUCCAUUUUCAGCAUGUGAAAAUAGUUUAACAGCAGUACAACUAAAUAAACGUAAAUUGGUGGUAUACAACACUUCUAAAAAUGACUCCUAAAAUAUGCAUUCGAAAAACGUUCAUAAAAUUGUGAUUAUUAAGUGACUGAAUGACGAAAUCGUUGAAGUUGACUAUCUGUUGUUCUUAAAAAGUAUUUUAUAAAGCAUUGAACUGUCAAUCAAGGCACAACCGCAAGCUGUCUGUCAAAUGGCGCGUUCGUCUGCCCAGGCGUUGGUAACACAUGCCAGAUGUUACAGUGCAUUUCCACAUAACAUGUUGGGGUGAUUAAACAACGGAGCGCCAUUCAUUUUGAAUUGAGGGAAGUCAGUGGCAGUGAAGUGGGCGGAGGGACAGUUGGGCGAUGUGAGCAUCUGCGAGGGAGCCUGAACAUGGUAGGAUCAACGUUUGGGACAGCUGAAUGUUUUGGUAAUACUCCAAGACAGUGUGGCACUGUUGACCAAUCGAAGGUCACUAUAGCUUCCAGCCCCUAUUGUAAUGGCUGUUGAGACCUAGCCUGCUUGCUAGCACCCACUUGAGGACGAAGUUACUGCGGCUAUUGUUGGUGUUUACAUACUGGAGAGGGAAUGCAAAACAACGACGCUGGACAGAGUGGAAUCAGGUGUAUCAAAAGGCAAUUUAUUGAGUCAAAGAUAUUUUGUCCUGCCGUUAUCGUGCACGGACCUAAGGAAUGUGACUCCAGAGCGGCCCAGAGCGGGCCCCAUUGGUGCACAGCAAAGUCCUUUGCUCUUGGCACCCGACCAGUAGGGGGGGGGGUAGAGUGUGAGUGUACAGUGCUUUAUGAGAUGUUUGUGUGUCUAGGAACGAAAGAUAGGGAAACUAGCAGUGUCUGCUUUAGGCGCAGGUGUUUCCUGUUUAUGCAGGAGUGCAUGAAAGGGUCAAUGUCAGUGAGAUAGCUUGGCACUUCUAAGCUCGUUAUUGUUGCAGGCUGCUCUUUGUAGUUUUACAGGGAGUAUAUUUGCGUGAUGGCAGCUGUGUGUCCUUCGGAUAAUCAUGUUAUUGCAGGUAGGCUCUAAACUUGACUGAGGACACUGGGCCCAGAGUUAUCUGAGGGCAUCCGGUUUAACCAGAGUGUUGGUCUGCUAGUGAUGCUUGAUAUUAUUACUUAUAUAACACUAUCCAAAUGAUCAUGUUAUGUGGAAACUGGGCAUCACCGCUCAUUUACACUAUUACAAGCGGCACUCGCAUAACCGCGCUAGCCUCACCUUCAUGUGGGUGCUAACAAGGUAGCAAGCAAGCUAGGUAGUGCUAUGCAUCGUCAGCCAAUCCAGUAGGGGUGAGCUUCGAUUGAUCACUUGCAUUCAGACUAUGUGAGCGGAACAGAGCGGGAGCAGAGCGAAGAGGAGCACACAGGUGUAAAAUCAAGGUGAUUUACAAAGAUGAGGUGGACCAAGCGCAAAAGAGGGAGUGCGGUGAUAUAGUGUCCACAAUUAAAGAAUCGUUGUGGAAUCUGAAAAUACACAUAUCCCAAAAGCAUGAGUUGUAAGUGCCCAUACAGAAUGUUAGGAGGUGGGUUGCUAGCUAAGUAUGUCAUUGUAGAAAAGUAUUUUUAAUCCAAAAAUCUGAUCUCUUAAAAGUUUAAUUAAUUUUCGUUCUAUUAUCUAUGCAAUAGGCUAUCAUUUUUUGGGGGCCCAAUAGGGCUGACAUAUGUCUCCUGACCCCUCCUGUCUCAGCCUCCAGUAUUUAUGCUGCAGUAGUUUAUGUGUCAGGGGGCUAGGGUCAGUCUGUGUGAAUUUAAGUAUGCUCUCUCUAAUUCUCUCUUUCUCUCUCUCUGAGGACCUGAGCUCUAGGACCAUGCCUCAGGACUACCUGGCGUGAUGACUCCUUGCUGUCCCCAGUCCACCUGGCCGUGCUGCUGCUCCAGUUUCAACUGUUCUGCCUGCGGCUGUUCACCGGAGGUGCUACCUAUCCCAGACCUGCUGUUUUCAACUCUCUAGAGAAGGCAGGAGCGGUAGAGAUCCUCUUAAUGAUCGGCUAUGAAAAGCCAACUGACAUUUACUCCUGAGGUGCUGACUUGUUGCACCCUCGACAACUACUGUGAUUAUUAUUAUUUGACCAUGCUAGUCAUUUAUGAACAUUUGAACAUCUUGGCCAUGUUCUGUUAUAAUCUCCACCCGGCACAGCCAGAAGAGGACUGGCCACCCCUCAUAGCCUGUUUCCUCUCUAGGUUUCUUUCUAGGUUUUGGCCUUUCAUAGGGAGUUUUUCCUAGCCACUGUGCUUCUACACCUGCAUUGCUUGCCAGGCAUCCCAUCCAGCCUGGCAAGAGUGUCCUGAAGGGUGUAUAGCAUCCUCAGUUGCUCUGCAAGCAUGGAGAGGGUCUAUUCUCCGCUGCUGGCAUUCUUUCCAGGCACCAUCGCGUGAGCCUGAAGCCACAGACUCUGGCCAAACUCGUGUUUCUAAAAGUGAAUUCAAAGACACUGUAGACUGAGCCUAAUAAGGCAUUUUUAGUUACAUUUGUAUUUAAUUCUAAGUAAGUCACAGCCUAUAUGCACAAUGUAUAGGCUAUAAUGAUUUAAUACAACAAAAUAUUGUAAGGAUCUCUACAGGAUCAGUGUCCCACCCUCGGGACUGUUGAGCUAACGUGCUAAUGGGAUUCACAUGACGCUGUAAGUAACAAGAACAUUUCCCAAGACAGACAUGUCUUAUAUGGACAGAAAGUGUAAAUUAUUGUUAAUCUAACUGCACUCUCCAAUUUACAGUAGUGAUUAGUGAAAGCAUAAAAUGCUAUUGUUUGCGGAGAGUGCACUUGUACUUGAAAAUGUAUAUAUUGACAAAUUAGGCACAUUUGGGCAGACUUGAUACAACAUUUUGAACAGAAAUUCAAUGGUUCAUUGGAUCAGUCUAAAACUUUGCACAUACACUGCUGCCAUCUAGUGGCCAAAAUCUAAAUUGUGCCUAGAGUUUUGCUAGCACAGACUGGUAUAUGUUCCGGGAUUCUUCAGAUGGCAUUGAGGAGUACACCACAUCAGUCGCUGGUUUCAUCAAUAAGUGCAUCGAGGACGACAUUGUCCCCACAGGGACUGUAUGUACAUACCCCAAUCAGAAGACAUGGAUUACAGGCAACAUCCUCACUGAGCUAAAGGCUGGAGCUGCCACUUUCAAGGGGUGGGACUCUAACCCGGAAGCUUAUAAGAAAUUUCGCUAUGCCUUCCGACGAAACAUCAAACAGGAAAAGCGCCAAUACAGGACUAAGAUCGAAUCGCACUACACCGGCUCCGAUGUUCGUCCGAUGUGGCAGGGCUUGCAAACUAUUACAGAUUUACAAAGGGAAGCACAGCCGAGAGCAGCCCAGUGACACAAGCCUACCAUAUGAGCUAAAUUACUUCUAUUCUCGCUUCGAGGCAAGUAACACUUCAACAUGCAUGAGAGCACCAGCUGAUCCCAAACGACUGUGUGAUCACGCUCUCCACAGCCAAUGUGAGUAAGACUUUUAAACAGGUCAACAUUCCCAAGGCUGCAGGGCCAGACGGAUUAUAUGGAUGUGUGCUCCGAGCAUGCACUGACCAACUGGCAAGUGUCUUCACUGACAUUUUCAACCUCUCCCUGUCUGAGUCUGUAGUUCCAACAUGUUUCAAGCAGACCAACAGUGUCCCUGUGCCCAAGAACACUAAGGUAACCUGCCUCAAUGACUACCGACCUGUAGCACUCACGUCUGUAGCCAUGACGUGCUUUGAAAGGCUGGUCAUGGCUCACAUCUAAGCCGUUAUCCCAGAAACCCUAAACAAUUUGCAUACAGCACCAACAGAUCCACAGAUGAUGCAAUCUCUAUUGCAUUCCACACUGCCCUUUCACACCUGGACAAAAGGAACACCUAUGUUAGAAUGCCAUUCAUUGACUACAGCUCAGCGUUCAACACCAUAGUGCCCUCAAAGCUCAUCACUAAGCUAAGGACCGUGGGACACCUCCCUCUGCAACUGGAUCCUGGACUUCCUGAUGGGCAGCCUCCAGGUGGUAAGUGUAGGUAACAACACAUCCGCCAUGCUGAUCCUCAACACAGGGGCCCCUCAGGGGUGCGUGCUCAGUCCCCUCCAGUACUCCCUGUUCACUCAUGACUGCACGGCCAGGCAUGACUCCAACACCAUCAUUAAGUUUGCCGAUGACAGUGGUAGGCCUGAUCACCAACAACGACAAGACAGCAUAUAGGGAGGAGGUCAGAGACCUGGCUGUGUGGUUCCAGGACAACAACCCCUCCCUCAAUGUGAUCAAGACUGAGGAGGUGAUUGUGGACUACAGGAAAAGGAGGACCGAGCACGCCCCCAUUCUCAUCGACAGGGCUGUAGUGGAUCAGGUUGAGUUCUUCAAGUUCCUUGGUGUCCACAUCACCAACAAACUAACAUGGUCUAAGCACACCAAGACAGUCGUGAAGAGGGCAUGACAAAACCUAUUCCCCCUCAGGAGACUCAAAAGAUUUGGCAUGGGUCCUCAGAUCUUCAAAAGGUUCUACAGCUGCAUUCUGAUGGGUUGCAUCACUGCCUGGUAUGGCAACUGCUCUGCUUCUGACCGCAAGGCACCACAGAGGGUGGUGCGUACGGCCCAGUACAUCACUGGGGCCAAGCUUCCUGUCAUCCAGGACCUCUUUACCAGGCGGUGUCAGAGUAAGACCCUAAAAAUGGUCAAAGACUCCAGCCACCCUAGUCAUAGACUGUUCUCUCUGCUACCGCACGUCAAGCGGUACCGGAGUGCCAAGUCUAGGUCCAAGAGGCUUCUUAACAGCUUCUACCCCCAAGCCAUAAGACUCCUGAACAUCUAAUCAAAUGGCUACCCAGACUACUUGCACCCCCCCACCCCUCUUCUACGCUGCUGCUACUCUCUGUUAUUAUCUAUGCAUAUGUCACUUUAAAAUCUCUACCCAUAAGUAUAUACUACCUCAAUUACCUCAACUAACCGGUGCCCCCGCACAUUGACUCUGUACCGGUACCCCCUGUAUAUAGCCUCGCUAUUGUUAUUUUACAGCUGCUCUUUAAUUAUUUGUUACUUUUAUUUCUUAUAUUUUUAUGUAUUAUCUUUUUAAACUGCAUUGUUGGUUAAGGGCUUGUAAGUAAGCAUUUCACUGUAAGGUUUUGUAUUCGGAGCAUAUAUGACAAAUAAAAUUUGAUUUGAAUAUUUUGCAUGUCCCCCAAAAAACCUUCCACUGGCAAACCAAGGAUCAUGUACUGUGAAUAUUGUUAUAUUUAACCUUUAUUUAACUAGGCAAGUCAUAUAAUGUAGGCCUACCUGUUAUACAC
ensembl:lncRNA